AUUGAACGCUGGCGGCAGGCCUACCACAUGCAAGUCGAGCGAGCGGCGGACGGGUGACCAAUGUAUGGUGAUCUGCCCGUGACAGGGGGUUCACUACUGGCAACGGUGACUAAUACCGCCUACUAUAGGAUGACCCCAUAUGGGAUUAGCUAGUAGGUGGGGUAAAGGCUCACCUAGGCGACGAUCUCUAGCUGGUCUGUGAGGAAGAGAAGACACAAGGGGAAUGAGACACGGCCCAGAGUCCUACGGGAGGCAGCAGUGGGGAAUAUUGCACAAGGGGCGCAAUCCUGAUGCAGCCAUGCCGCGUGUAUGAAGAAGGACUUAGGGUUGUAAAGUACUUUCAGCGAGGAGGCGUUACCCGCAGAAGAAGCACCGGGUAACUUCGUGCCAGCCGCCGCGGUAAUUC
rnacentral:rRNA from 1 species